UGGGGCUGUGGCGAAAUUGGUAGACGCACUGGAUUUAGGUUCCAGCGCCGCGAGGUGUAAGAGUUCGAGUCUCUUCAGCCCCACCAC
rnacentral:tRNA from 1 species